UCCUCUCGAUUAUUGAAUCGAUUAAUCGUUGGGUAAUAAUCGAUUCAAAAUUAAUCGAUUAUCACAACGAUGAAUCGAUUAAUCGAAGUAAUCGAUUAAUUUGCGACAUCUCUAGCGACGUCGUGCACAAACCGAAGCGGACAAACGGGACAAACACAAAACAGCAAGUUGAUUGUUCGGUGUUUGCAACUUCAAACGUAAAAUUACGAGUUUCCUAAUUUGAACUUCGUUGCAAUCAACAUCUCACUCAACCAUGGCCGAUAAGGAGAACAAGGAAAAGUCUAAGGUGGAUCUGGGCCUCUUGGAGGAGGAUGACGAAUUCGAGGAGUUCCCCGCAGAAGAUUGGACUGGCAACAAAGAGGACGAAGAGGAGCUUAGCGUUUGGGAAGACAACUGGGACGACGAUAACGUGGAAGAUGAUUUCAACCAGCAGCUGAGGGCGCAGUUGGAGAAACAGAAAUCAAAUUAAUAUUCGAAAUUAGAUUAGGAAGUUUCGGAAUAAAUAAGCCCGAGGUUGAA